rnacentral:rRNA from 1 species
UGAGGAAUAUUGGUCAAUGGGGGCAACCCUGAACCAGCCAUGCCGCGUGAAGGAUGAAGGCCUUAUGGGUUGUAAACUUCUUUUGUAUGAGGCGAAUUGUUUUUACGUGUAAAGACUUGACAGUACCAUACGAAUAAGCAUCGGCUAACUCCGUGCCAGCAGCCGCGGUAAUUCGGAGGAUGCAAGCGUUAUCCGGAUUUACUGGGUUUAAAGGGUGAGUAGGCGGACCGGUAAGUCAGUGGUGAAAGGCUGUAGCUUAACUACAGAAUUGCCAUUGAUACUGCUGGCCUUGAGUGCAGUUGAGGCAGGCGGAAUGUGCAGUGUAGCGGUGAAAUGCUUAGAUAUUGCACAGAACACCAAUUGCGGAGGCAGCUUGCUAAGCUGCUACUGACGCUGAGGCACGAAAGCGUGGGGAUCAAACAG